rnacentral:rRNA from 1 species
CGCGAAACCUCUACGAAUGCACGAAAGUGUGAUAGGGAACCCCUUGUGCUUAUCUAACGAUAGGCUUUUGUAAUACUUAGCGCGUUUUACGAAUAAGUGGUGGGCAAGGCUGGUGCCAGCAGCCGCGGUAAUACCAGCGCCACAAGUGGAAAUCAUGUUUAUUGGGUCUAAAGUGUUCGUAGCAGGUCGAAUAAGUCUCUUGUGAAAGUUUUGUAGCUUAACUCAAAAUUUGCAAGAGAUACUGUUUGACUCGAGACCGGAAGAGGUAACAAGUAUUGUUUGGGUAGCGGUAAAAUGCUAUAAUCCUUACAAGACUAACUAAGGCGAAGGCAUGUUACUUGGACGGAUCUGACAGUGAGGGACGAGAGCUGGGGGAGCGAACCGGAUUAGAUACCCGGGUAGUCCCAGCCGUAAACGCUGCGGGUUAGGCUUUGCU